CCUACGGGGGGCAGCAGUGGGGAAUAUUGGGCAAUGGAGGCAACUCUGACCCAGCAACGCCGCGUGAAUGAUGAAGGUCCUCGGAUUGUAAAGCUCUUUUCUAAGGGAAGAAGAAAGUGACGGUACCUUAGGAAUAAGCCUCGGAUAACUACGUGCCAGCAGCCGCUGUAAUACGUAGGCGGCAAGCGUUCUCCGGAAUGACUGGGCGUAAAGGUUGCGUAGGUGGUUUGACAAGGUGGUCGCGAAACUCCGGAUCCCAACUACGGAACGACUACCAAAACUGUUGGACUAGAGUGCAGGGGGGGCAGGUGGAAUGUCUAGUGUAGCGGUGGAAUGCGUAGAGAUUAGGAAGAACACCGGUGGCGAAGGCAGGUUGCUGGACUGUAACUGACACUGAGGCACGAAAGCGUGGGGAGCAAACAGGAUUAGAUACCCCUGUAGUC
rnacentral:rRNA from 1 species